GUGGGCCGGUGUGCGUGGUUGCAGUCUGCGUCAUGUGCCGCCGCCAGGCCGUGUCUUACGGCCUGUCGGUGGUGCUCACUCCUCACACCUGCGGCCGCAGAGCACCUGGAGAUCAUAGUACUGGCUCUGUGACGUCUCUCUGACUCUUACCGCUGGCCAGCCUCCAUACUCUCCUACAAAC
ensembl:snoRNA small nucleolar RNA SNORA23